rnacentral:rRNA from 1 species
GGUUAAGCGACUAAGCGUACACGGUGGAUGCCCUGGCAGUCAGAGGCGAUGAAGGACGUGCUAAUCUGCGAAAAGCGUCGGUAAGGUGAUAUGAACCGUUAUAGCCGGCGAUGUCCGAAUGGGGAAACCCAGUGCAAUUCGUUGCACUAUCGUUAACUGAAUACAUAGGUUAACGAGGCGAACCGGGGGAACUGAAACAUCUAAGUACCCCGAGGAAAAGAAAUCAACCGAGAUUCCCCCAGUAGCGGCGAGCGAACGGGGAGCAGCCCAGAGUCUGAAUCAGCUUGUGUGUUAGUGGAACGGUCUGGAAAGUCCGACGGUACAGGGUGAUAGUCCCGUACACCAAAAUGCACAGGUUGUGAACUCGAAGAGUAGGGCGGGACACGUGGUAUCCUGUCUGAAUAUGGGGGGACCAUCCUCCAAGGCUAAAUACUCCUGACUGACCGAUAGUGAACCAGUACCGUGAGGGAAAGGCGAAAAGAACCCCGGCGAGGGGAGUGAAAAAGAACCUGAAACCGUGUACGUACAAGCAGUGGGAGCACCUUCGGGUGUGACUGCGUACCUUUUGUAUAAUGGGUCAGCGACUUAUAUUCUGUAGCAAGGUUAACCGUAUAGGGGAGCCGCAGGGAAACCGAGUCUUAACUGGGCGUUAAGUUGCAGGGUAUAGACCCGAAACCCGGUGAUCUAGCCAUGGGCAGGUUGAAGGUUGGGUAACACUAACUGGAGGACCGAACCGACUAAUGUUGAAAAAUUAGCGGAUGACUUGUGGCUGGGGGUGAAAGGCCAAUCAAACCGGGAGAUAGCUGGUUCUCCCCGAAAGCUAUUUAGGUAGCGCCUCGUGAAUUCAUCUUCGGGGGUAGAGCACUGUUUCGGCUAGGGGGUCAUCCCGACUUACCAACCCGAUGCAAACUACGAAUACCGAAGAAUGUUAUCACGGGAGACACACGGCGGGUGCUAACGUCCGUCGUGAAGAGGGAAACAACCCAGACCGCCAGCUAAGGUCCCAAAGUCAUGGUUAAGUGGGAAACGAUGUGGGAAGGCACAGACAGCCAGGAUGUUGGCUUAGAAGCAGCCAUCAUUUAAAGAAAGCGUAAUAGCUCACUGGUCGAGUCGGCCUGCGCGGAAGAUGUAACGGGGCUAAACCAUGCACCGAAGCUGCGGCAGCGACACUAUGUGUUGUUGGGUAGGGGAGCGUUCUGUAAGCCUGCGAAGGUGACCUGUGAGGGUUGCUGGAGGUAUCAGAAGUGCGAAUGCUGACAUAAGUAACGAUAAAGCGGGUGAAAAGCCCGCUCGCCGGAAGACCAAGGGUUCCUGUCCAACGUUAAUCGGGGCAGGGUGAGUCGACCCCUAAGGCGAGGCCGAAAGGCGUAGUCGAUGGGAAACAGGUUAAUAUUCCUGUACUUGGUGUUACUGCGAAGGGGGGACGGAGAAGGCUAUGUUAGCCGGGCGACGGUUGUCCCGGUUUAAGCAUGUAGGCUGGUUAUCCAGGCAAAUCCGGAUAAUCAAGGCUGAGGUGUGAUGACGAGGCACUACGGUGCUGAAGUAACAAAUGCCCUGCUUCCAGGAAAAGCCUCUAAGCAUCAGGUAACAUCAAAUCGUACCCCAAACCGACACAGGUGGUCAGGUAGAGAAUACCAAGGCGCUUGAGAGAACUCGGGUGAAGGAACUAGGCAAAAUGGUGCCGUAACUUCGGGAGAAGGCACGCUGGUGUGUAGGUGAAGUCCCUGCGGAUGGAGCUGAGACCAGUCGAAGAUACCAGCUGGCUGCAACUGUUUAUUAAAAACACAGCACUGUGCAAACACGAAAGUGGACGUAUACGGUGUGACGCCUGCCCGGUGCCGGAAGGUUAAUUGAUGGGGUUAUCCGUAAGGAGAAGCUCUUGAUCGAAGCCCCGGUAAACGGCGGCCGUAACUAUAACGGUCCUAAGGUAGCGAAAUUCCUUGUCGGGUAAGUUCCGACCUGCACGAAUGGCGUAAUGAUGGCCAGGCUGUCUCCACCCGAGACUCAGUGAAAUUGAACUCGCUGUGAAGAUGCAGUGUACCCGCGGCAAGACGGAAAGACCCCGUGAACCUUUACUAUAGCUUGACACUGAACAUUGAGCCUUGAUGUGUAGGAUAGGUGGGAGGCUUUGAAGCGUGGACGCCAGUCUGCGUGGAGCCAACCUUGAAAUACCACCCUUUAAUGUUUGAUGUUCUAACGUUGGCCCCUUACCGGGGUUGCGGACAGUGUCUGGUGGGUAGUUUGACUGGGGCGGUCUCCUCCCAAAGCGUAACGGAGGAGCACGAAGGUUAGCUAAUCCUGGUCGGACAUCAGGAGGUUAGUGCAAUGGCAUAAGCUAGCUUGACUGCGAGCGUGACGGCGCGAGCAGGUGCGAAAGCAGGUCAUAGUGAUCCGGUGGUUCUGAAUGGAAGGGCCAUCGCUCAACGGAUAAAAGGUACUCCGGGGAUAACAGGCUGAUACCGCCCAAGAGUUCAUAUCGACGGCGGUGUUUGGCACCUCGAUGUCGGCUCAUCACAUCCUGGGGCUGAAGUAGGUCCCAAGGGUAUGGCUGUUCGCCAUUUAAAGUGGUACGCGAGCUGGGUUUAGAACGUCGUGAGACAGUUCGGUCCCUAUCUGCCGUGGGCGCUGGAGAAUUGAGGGGGGCUGCUCCUAGUACGAGAGGACCGGAGUGGACGCAUCACUGGUGUUCGGGUUGUCAUGCCAAUGGCACUGCCCGGUAGCUAAAUGCGGAAGAGAUAAGUGCUGAAAGCAUCUAAGCACGAAACUUGCCCCGAGAUGAGUUCUCCCUGAGACUUUAAGUCUCCUGAAGGAACGUUAAAGACGAUGACGUUGAUAGGCCGGGUGUGUAAGCGCAGCGAUGCGUUGAGCUAACCGGUACUAAUGAACCGUGAGGCUUAACCUU